rnacentral:rRNA from 1 species
UCAUGGCUCAGAUUGAACGCUGGCGGCAUGCUUACACAUGCAAGUCGAGCGGCAGCGCGGGGGCAACCCUGGCGGCGAGCGGCGAACGGGUGAGGAAUACAUCGGAACGUACCCCGGAGUGGGGGAUAACGCCGCGAAAGCGGCGCUAAUACCGCAUAUGCUCUGAGGAGGAAAGUGGGGGCUCGCAAGACCUCACGCUCUGGGAGCGGCCGAUGUCCGAUUAGCUAGUUGGUGGGGUAAUGGCUUACCAAGGCGACGAUCGGUAGCUGGUCUGAGAGGAUGAUCAGCCACACUGGGACUGAGACACGGCCCAGACUCCUACGGGAGGCAGCAGUGGGGAAUUUUGGACAAUGGGGGCAACCCUGAUCCAGCCCAUGCCGCGUGCGGGAAGAAGGCCUUCGGGUUGUAAACCGCUUUUAGUCGGGAAGAAAAGGCGAUUCCUAAUACGGGUCGUUCUUGACGGUACCGGCGGAAUAAGCACCGGCUAACUACGUGCCAGCCGCCGC